rnacentral:lncRNA from 1 species
UGCCUGAUGUUCAUAUGAUGAAAUCAUAAUCUUUCAGUCAGUUUAAUUGAAGUCUGGAGCUGGCAUGUCAGUUAACUGCUAGUAGUCUGUUGUUAUUUAUGUAUUAUUGUCAUUUUGUUUAUUUUCUUUGGUUACAUCUUCUGACAUCAGACUCGGACUUCUCUUGAACUGAAUUUUAAUGUGCGUAUUGUUAUGCGUUUACUUUUCUACAUUGGUUAGAGGUAUAGGGGGAGGGUUGAGAUCUCACAAACAUGUUUAACCCCGCCGCAUUUUUGCGCCUGUCCCAAGUCAGGAGCCUCUGGCCUUUGUUAGUCUUGUAUUAUUUUAAUUUAAGUUUCUUGUGUACAAUUUGGAAAUUAGUAUGGCGUUCAUUAUCACUGGACUAGUAUAAUUUGUUUAGGGGCCAGCUGAAGGACGCCUCCGGUGCGGGAAUUUCUCGCUACAUUGAAGACCUGUUGGUGACCCUCUGCUGUUGUUUUUUAUUUGGUCGGGUUGUUGUCUCUUUGACACAUUCCCCAUUUCCAUUCUCAAUUUUA